UGGGGAAUUUUGGACAAUGGGGGAAACCCUGAUCCAGCCAUCCCGCGUGUGCGAUGAAGGCCUUCGGGUUGUAAAGCACUUUUGGCAGGAAAGAAACGUCAUGGGUUAAUACCCCGUGAAACUGACGGUACCUGCAGAAUAAGCACCGGCUAACUACGUGCCAGCAGCCGCGGUAAUACGUAGGGUGCAAGCGUUAAUCGGAAUUACUGGGCGUAAAGCGUGCGCAGGCGGUUCGGAAAGAAAGAUGUGAAAUCCCAGAGCUCAACUUUGGAACUGCUUUUUUAACGACCGGGCGAGUGUGUGUGAGGGGGAGGUGGAAUUGCGCGUGUAGCAGUGAAAUGCGUAGAUAUGCGGGGGAACACCGAUGGAGAAGGCAGCCUCCGGGGAUAACACUGACGCUCAUGCGCGAAAGCGUGGGGAGCAAACAGG
rnacentral:rRNA from 1 species